rnacentral:rRNA from 1 species
CCUACGGGGGGCAGCAGUGAGGAAUAUUGGUCAAUGGCCGGAAGGCUGAACCAGCCAAGUCGCGUGAGGGACGACUGCCCUAUGGGUUGUAAACCUCUUUUAUAAGGGAAGAAUAAAUGCUACGUGUAGCAUGAUGCCUGUACCUUAUGAAUAAGCAUCGGCUAACUCCGUGCCAGCACCCGCGGUAAUACGGAGGAUGCGAGCGUUAUCCGGAUUUAUUGGGUUUAAAGGGUGCGUAGGCGGUUUUUUAAGUUAGUGGUUAAACGUCGGGGCUUCACCUUGAUUUGCCAUUAAUACUGUAAGACUCGAGUUCAGACGAGGUAGGCGGAAUAAGUUAAGUAGCGGUGAAAUGCUUAGAUAUAACUUAGAACUCCGAUAGCGAAGGCAGCUUACCGGACUGCGACUGACGCUGAAGCACGAGAGCGUGGGUAGCGAACAGGAUUAGAUACCCCAGUAGUC